UGAACCUUCGAGAGAGUGAAAGAGCCUCUUCGCACGAAGGGACAUCCCUCUUCGUGCAAAUGGCCAGUUCGCUCCAACCUAGUCGCCUGAAGCCCUUCGCACGAAAGGCCCAGUCGCUCUAGAUCACUUCUCGACCUAUAAGUACGUACCUAACCCCACUCAUUUCACUUUCCCAGUCGCCCAAGACACUCUCAGACGCUCUGAACUUGCAUUUCCGAGAAGAAGCAUUUCAGGUAACCGCGGUGUAUCGACUCUCAUCUAAUCGGCUCUCAGUUUAGUGGAAAGCUACGCAAAACCGUCGCUAGUUGAUGGUAUGAAGAAACUCAUUUAGGGUGGAUUUAGAUACACACCUUAAAGAUGAACUAUUAUUUAUGUUUCAUGAUGGUUGUUUGCUACUUGAUGUAUUUGGUUUUGAACAAUGUAUUUCGAUUUACCAUUGAUGCAAUUUGAAUUAAUUAAA